ACGCUCGACACCUACGGGGGCAGCAGUAGGGAAUCUUCCACAAUGGGCGCAAGCCUGAUGGAGCAACACCGCGUGAGUGAAGAAGGGUUUCGGCUCGUAAAGCUCUGUUGUUGGAGAAGAACGUGCGUGAGAGUAACUGUUCACGCAGUGACGGUAUCCAACCAGAAAGUCACGGCUAACUACGUGUCAGCAGCCGCGGUAACUGAGCGGGCUGGCAAGGC
rnacentral:rRNA from 1 species